GAGAAAAUUGGUGGAUUUCAAGUAAUCAAGCAAUCAAAGGUGGUGAGCAUUCUAGAAAAAGUAAAGAGAUAGUACCCGAGGAUUAAGAAUCGAAGUACUCGGAAUUUGACUCCCUAAAUAGCUUAGGAUAGUCGGUAGAUAGCUCACUUUGUUGAGG